rnacentral:lncRNA from 1 species
GUUUCCUGAGUGAGAGCAUCCUGUGAGCUGGCUCCUGAGAGGGCAUUUGUGCUGAGGACUUGGGGGCUGCCCACCAGCUGAACAAGAGCUCAGAGAACAAUGAGAGCCUUUCGGUUUCCCAACAACACUCCUACCUGCACGUUGAUGUGAUCCUUGGGUGAAGAUCCCAUUAAUUUUCAGCGUCCAGAAACUGACUUUCGUGCCCAGCACAUAGUAGGUAAGGAAAGCAGCGAGGCUUGUGUUCCCUUCCCUGCAGGGGCUGCAACACUGGGCCCUGGGAUGUCAGGGCCUUCGAAGGUGCUACAAAAAACAGCCGGCCUGAGGAGGGGCCGUGCGUGCCCUUACUCUUCCGGGCUCAUCCGAGUUCUGUAGGCUUCUCCGUCCAGGAUUCUGCUGGUUACCGUCUCCCCAGAGCUGGCUCAGCUUUGAGGCCCAGCCCAGGGCCUGGAACUCUUGCUGAGAGGCCUGUUUCUAAGGAUGGAGUCAUCCCUGCUCGGGGGUCCUGCAGGGUCUGCAGUGCGGCCACCAGGUGCCACUUUGUCUGAGAGCCCUAAGGAAGAUGAGGGAAGCGGAUGCUUGGGAAUGUAGCUGGCAAGACAGUGACCAAGCAAAGGAGAGGACAGGAGAGCAGGCAGAAGGCAAUCCAGCUCACCCACGGGAGGACCGAAAUCUCCGUUUUUAGCCAGCAUGCUCUGCCCUUGGGCUUUCUCUCGAGCAUCUUUGUUUCUUCUCCACAGCAAAGUUCUCACUUUUCUCUCACUUAGUUCAAUAGCUGUCCUCUUGCAGGGGUAGAGGUCUGGCUGGCCGCUAGCUCUGCAGAUGGUUCUUCAGUGUUUCCUCCUGAGAACUCGGUUCCAGCCGUCUUACUGUUUUCUCUUCUUCCCUUCUCACCCUUCUCCUUUUCUAACCUGCAGCCCCUGUACACCCAGCACUUUCUCCCUUUGGGUCUCUGAGGCUUCUCCACUCAUACCUCACCUGUGGCUCUUUCCUGUCCAUCCGGCGACAAGAAAUACGUCAAGCCACCUCAGUUCUCUGUUCUCUGGGCCUCAGUUUCCUUGUCUCUAGAAUGACAGAAGUAGCAGGUAGGUGUGGGUUGCCUGACAAUUGGAGAGCCCCUUCACCCCAAGCCUGGAAGGGGCUACUUAUGAAUGUCCUGGUGCCUAAGCAGGUGUUUCAAGAAAAGACUGCCAAGUAUGUGCACUAGGACCCCAAAACUUUCCACCCCAGGCCAGCCCAGGGUGGAGGGGCAAUCCACUACUGGUACACAUUGCUGCAGGUCAAAAGACAGGGGGUGCAGCUCAGUGGUAGAGCACUUGUCUAGCAUGUGUAAAGCCAUGGGUUCAACCCCAGGACCCCCAAAGUAGAUGGGAUGGGGUGCAGCAGAAUGGG